UACGUAGGGAGCAAGCGUUGUCCGGAAUCAUUGGGCGUAAAGCGCGCGUAGGCGGCCCGAUAAGUCCGCUGUAAAAGUCAACGGCUCAACUGUCGAAAGCCGGUGGAUACUGUCGGGCUAGAGUACGGAAGAGGCAAGUGGAAUUCCUGGUGUAGCGGUGGAAUGCGCAGAUAUCAGGAGGAACACCUAUAGCGAAGGCAGCUUGCUGGGACGUUACUGACGCUAAGGCGCGAAAGCGUGGGGAGCGAACAGG
rnacentral:rRNA from 1 species